rnacentral:tRNA from 1 species
AUUUAAAUAAUUUAUAAUAAAAUAUUGAUUUGUGGAGUCAAAAAUAUGAGAUGAUCAUUUUAAAUC